GGUAGUCUUGGCCAUAAACGAUGUUCACUAGGUGUUGGGGCUUUGCCUCGGUGCCGCAGCUAACGCAUUAAGUGAACCGCCUGGGAACUACGAUCGCAAGAUUAAAACUCAAAGGAAUUGGCGGGGGCCCGCACAAGCGGUGGAGCAUGUGGCUUAAUUCGAUGCAACGCGAAGAACCUUACCAGGGCUUGACAUGGAUCUGCAAGCUACCGAAAAGUAGUCGCCUUCGAGGGUGAUUCACAGGUGGUGCAUGGCUGUCGUCAGCUCGUGUUGUGAAAUGUUGGGUUAAG
rnacentral:rRNA from 1 species